rnacentral:rRNA from 1 species
UACGGGGGAUGCAAGCGUUAUCCGGAAUUAUUGGGCGUAAAGGGUCCUGAGGUGGCUAGCCAAGUCUAUUGUGAAAUAUCAGGGCUUAACCCUGAACAUGCGGUGGAAACUAGAAAGCUUGAGUACAGUAGGGGCGGAGGGAAUUUCCGGUGGAGCGGUGAAAUGCAUAGAUAUUGGGAAGAACACCAACGGCGAAAGCACUCCGCUGGGCUGAUACUGACACUGACAGACGAAAGCUAGGGUAGCGAAAGGG